UACAGAGGGUGCGAGCGUUGUUCGGAAUUAUUGGGCGUAAAGCGCUUGUAGGCGGCACGUCAAGUCGCGUGUGAAAUCCCCAGGCUUAACCUGGGAAGUGCGCGCGAAACUGACGAGCUUGAGUGCCGGAGAGGGUCGCGGAAUUCCCGGUGUAGAGGUGAAAUUCGUAGAUAUCGGGAGGAACACCAGUGGCGAAGGCGGCGACCUGGACGGACACUGGCGCUGAGACGCGAAAGCGUGGGGAGCAAACAGG
rnacentral:rRNA from 1 species